rnacentral:tRNA from 1 species
GCCUUCGUGGUGUAGUGGUUCACACACUAGGCGCGUACUCUAGAGGUCCGUGGUUCGAGUCCCGGCAAGGGCA